rnacentral:lncRNA from 1 species
AGUGCCUUUCACCUCCCACCAUGAACCUGAGGCCUCCCAAGUCAUGUGGAAAUAUGAGCAAACUGAGGCACAAGAGAGGUCUAAGUACCUGCCCAUCCUCACAGAGUGAUUCAACAUCUACAGUUGAGGAGAGGGGAGAGACGGGAAGAAAGGGCCUUGGCUUUGAGGCUACUCUUUGUGGUUUAUGAACCACACUGAGUGACCCUGGGGUCUCCGAUGGCGAGUCCAAGCUGUACAGGAGCCAGAGAGGUACCAUGUGCCGGAGUGACAGGAUCAGAAUCUGUGACACAUGCAUCAUAAUCCCUGUCCCGAAGGCAUACGCUUUUUCAAAUGAUGGGAGACCAUGAACAGUAUAUUCUAGCCAGAGUUCCUGGCUGGGAACCUGCUCCUCUCAGGAGCUCUGCAGCUGGGUUCCUUCCUUCCUUGGGUGGGCGUCCUGCAGCUUCUUGUUUAAUAUCUGGACCCCAUCCAGGCCUGCUGCCAUGGCAGAGCUGGCCAGGCCAAGCCACCCUUUGGGAUCUGCAUAGGAUUUUAUUUACCCCAGGAGAUGGGAGGGAGAAAUGAGGGAGAAAAUAGCAAUAGUGACAUCUGGAGCCUGCAUCUGAUGAGUUCCCAGAAAUGCAGGGAUUUGUUUACAAAUGCGAGACUUUCCAUCUGAGGACCUGAGGAUGUUUGAAAAACUCUACAGCUCACCUGUAGGCUAGAAAUCCUGUCCCCAAACUGCAGGCCAAAGAAGCGGUCCCACAAAUGGCCCACACUGCAGAGCUCCACCAAGGCUGAAGGGCCCUUGACCACUGGGGCAUUAGUCCCUCCAAACCACUGCUGGGUGCUGCGGAAGAGUAGGACAGAGACAAGGCAGCUUAAGAGACCUCGGCAUCUCCAUCCACGCGGAGUGUGGUGGUGAAUCUUAGGUGUCAACUAGGCUGGGUCGUAGGGUGCCCAGGCAUUUGGUUAAAUGUGAUUUUUGAGUGUGUUCGGGGUUGGGGGUGUUUCCAGGUGGCAUUAAGAUCUGAAUCAGCAGACUGAGUGAAGCAGAGGGCCUUCCUAGCCACAGGCCUCCUCCAAUCCCUUGAGGUCCUGAAUAGAACGCACAGGCUGAGAACAGGGGAACUCCUGCCCGACUGCUGAGCUGGGACAUUGGUGCUCACCUAAGGGUCUGGGGUCAGGAUGGGGGUGGUGAGCAGCAACUCCUGCCUUGCUGUGCCCUCAGAAGGCUUUUGGGGAUCUCCUCUUCUGACCUGCAUAGGGACCUAUGGGUCCCCAACAUCAGAGGCAGAGAGGUCAGUUUCCAUUUCAGACCCCAAACAACUAAGCAGGCUGACCUGGAAUCUGAGGGUCUGCCCUGAUUUGGAUCAAGUCCCACACACCACAAGGGACAGGGCUGUGACUGGUCCCCUGCAGUUUUCAACCUUCCCUCUCUGCUGUGUGAUUUCCCCAGGGCCAGAUACAGGACCAGAAGGUUGCCCCAUACAGCUCUUCAUACCUCUGGGUGCAGCCGUCUUAGCUCGUUUUCUAGCAACUGCUCUUAGAGGCAGGAUGCCAUGUCAACCUAGGGCAAUCGAGUACAACACCUUUCAACAACUAAGAAGCUCUUGCUGGGAAGCUGGUAUUAGGCAAACCGAGGGACACUGGCUGAACAUAAAUCAAAGAAUGUGAGCUGUGGCCGGGACAGUGGCGUUGUCCUAAGCCACACCUUCUCCACAACCUCAUCGGUGGCUGGUCUGCCAGUGUCAGCCUUGCACUCCUGAGUGCUCCCUUCCAGCCCAGGCCACGUGUCCAGUUUGUCUGGGAGGGUCGUCGGUCCUUGGGAUGAGUUUCCCUUCUGAUCUACUGCUGAUACUUGUGCCUACGCUGAAGGCUCACCUGCCUGAAGCUUGUUCACUCACAGAAAGGAUCUUUUUUGUGCCCCACUGUGUGUAAGGUGCUGUGCAGCCUGGGCCCAACCAAACAUAGCUGCACGCACAGGCCUUGCCAGUCACUGUGAACAAGCACCUGAAUCCAGCACACAAGGACCUGGGCUGAGCUGGAGCCUCGAGAAAACCAUCUGCUCAUGUACCAUGUGGCUCUAGGAUCCCAAAGCCACACAUCCCUGCCAGGCCAGGCCCACCACAGUCUCCUCUUUGCCAUCAUUUGGCCACCCUCCUAGGAUUGCAGCAGGAUUCAAUCACCCUGGGCACAGCCCUGGUUGUUCUAGGGUAAUCCCUGCCUCUACCAGCUCAUUGCUGAGAUUCCAGCAUAAUUGGAAGCUGGGACUAUCGUUCACUGUCAUUAGCAUUAAAACAUGCAAAGCUUC